CCAUGCCGCGUGUGUGAAGAAGGUCUUCGGAUUGUAAAGCACUUUAAGUUGGGAGGAAGGGCAGUAACCUAAUACGUUAUUGUUUUGACGUUACCGACAGAAUAAGCACCGGCUAACUCUGUGCCAGCAGCCGCGGUAAUACAGAGGGUGCAAGCGUUAAUCGGAAUUACUGGGCGUAAAGCGCGCGUAGGUGGUUUGUUAAGUUGGAUGUGAAAGCCCCGGGCUCAACCUGGGAACUGCAUCCAAAACUGGCAAGCUAGAGUAUGGUAGAGGGUGGUGGAAUUUCCUGUGUAGCGGUGAAAUGCGUAGAUAUAGGAAGGAACACCAGUGGCGAAGCGACCACCUGGACUGAUACUGACACUGAGGUGCGAAACGUGGGGACAAACAGGAUUAGAUACCUGGUAGUCCACGCCGUAAACGAUGUCACUAGCCGUUGGGA
rnacentral:rRNA from 1 species